GAUGAACGCUAGCGACAGGCCUAACACAUGCAAGUCGAGGGGCAUCGGGGUGUAGCAAUACGCUGCCGGCGACCGGCGGAUGGGUGAGUAACGCGUAUGCAACCUGCCUUCAGCAGGGGGAUAGCCCGUUGAAAGACGGAUUAAUACCCCGUAACACAGGGGCUCCGCAUGGAGAUUAUUGUUAAAGGGAUGCUUCCUUCGGGGAGUAUUCUGGCUGAAGAUGGGCAUGCGUUCCAUUAGGUAGUUGGUUGAGGUAACGGCUCACCAAGCCUGCGAUGGAUAGGGGAACUGAGAGGUUGGUCCCCCACACUGGUACUGAGACACGGACCAGACUCCUACGGGAGGCAGCAGUGAGGAAUCUUGGUCAAUGGACGGAAGUCUGAACCAGCCAUGUCGCGUGAAGGAGGACGGCCCUAAGGGUUGUAAACUUCUUUUGCAGGGGAAUAAAGUAUUCCACGAGAUGGGAUAUUGCAAGUACGCUGCGAAUAAGGAUCGGCUAACUCCG
rnacentral:rRNA from 1 species